rnacentral:rRNA from 1 species
GACGAACGCUGGCGGCGUGCCUAAUACAUGCAAGUCGAGCGGACUUGAAGGAGUGCUUGCACUCCUGAGAGUUAGCGGCGGACGGGUGAGUAACACGUAGGCAACCUGCCCUCAAGACUGGGAUAACUACCGGAAACGGUAGCUAAUACCGGAUAAUUUAUUACAUAGCAUUAUGUGAUAAUGAAAGACGGAGCAAUCUGUCACUUGGGGAUGGGCCUGCGGCGCAUUAGCUAGUUGGUGGGGUAACGGCCCACCAAGGCGACGAUGCGUAGCCGACCUGAGAGGGUGAACGGCCACACUGGGACUGAGACACGGCCCAGACUCCUGCGGGAGGCAGCAGUAGGGAAUCUUCCGCAAUGGGCGAAAGCCUGACGGAGCAACGCCGCGUGAGUGAUGAAGGUUUUCGGAUCGUAAAGCUCUGUUGCCAAGGAAGAACGUCUCAUAGAGUAACUGCUAUGAGAGUGACGGUACUUGAGAAGAAAGCCCCGGCUAACUACGUG